rnacentral:rRNA from 1 species
UGGGGAAUAUUGGACAAUGGGCGCAAGCCUGAUCCAGCCAUGCCGCGUGUGUGAAGAAGGCUCUAGGGUUGUAAAGCACUUUAAGCAGGGAAGAAACGCUGUUGGUUAAUACCCAUCAGUACUGACGGUACCUGCAGAAUAAGCACCGGCUAACUCCGUGCCAGCAGCCGCGGUAAUACGGAGGGUGCAAGCGUUAAUCGGAUUUACUGGGCGUAAAGCGUGCGUAGGCGGCUGCGUAAGUCAGUUGUGAAAGCCCCGGGCUUAACCUGGGAACUGCAAUUGAUACUGCGUGGCUAGAAUUCGGUAGAGGAAGGUGGAACUCCAGGUGUAGCGGUGAAAUGCGUAGAUAUCUGGAAGAACAUCAAUGGCGAAGGCAACCUUCUGGGCCUGAAUUGACGCUGAGGUACGAAAGCGUGGGGAGCAAACAGG